AUUAAACGCUGGCGGAAUGCUUUACACAUGCAAGUCGAACGGCAGCACGGACUUCGGUCUGGUGGCGAGUGGCGAACGGGUGAGUAAUACAUCGGAACGUGCCCAGUCGUGGGGGAUAACGUAGCGAAAGCUACGCUAAUACCGCAUACGAUCUAAGGAUGAAAGCGGGGGAUCGCAAGACCUCGCGCGAUUGGAGCGGCCGAUGGCAGAUUAGGUAGUUGGUAGGGUAAAGGCCUACCAAGCCGACGAUCUGUAGCUGGUCUGAGAGGAUGAUCAGCCACACUGGGACUGAGACGCGGCCCAGACUCCUACGGGAGGCAGCAGUGGGGAAUAUUGCGCAAUGGGCGAAAUCCUGACGCAGCGACGCCGCGUGGAGGAUGAAGGUCUUAGGAUUGUAAACUCCUGUCAGGUGGGAAGAAAAGCUUAUUUCUAAUAAAUAUAGGUAAUGACUGUACCAUCAGAGGAAGCACUGGCUAACCUCGUGCCAGCCGCCGCAGUAA
rnacentral:rRNA from 1 species